GGAGUGCUCGAAAGAGAACCAGUACACAGGUGCUGCAUGGCUGUCGUCAGCUCGUGUCGUGAGAUGUUGGGUUAAGUCCCGCAACGAGCGCAACCCUUGUCAUUAGUUGCUACGAAAGGGCACUCUAAUGAGACUGCCGGUGACAAACCGGAGGAAGGUGGGGAUGACGUCAAGUCCUCAUGGCCCUUAUGGGUAGGGCUUCACACGUCAUACAAUGGUACAUACAGAGCGCCGCCAACCCGCGAGGGGGAGCUAAUCGCAGAAAGUGUAUCGUAGUCCGGAUUGUAGUCUGCAACUCGACUGCAUGAAGUUGGAAUCGCUAGUAAUCGCGGAUCAGCAUGUCGCGGUGAAUACGUUCCCGGGUCUUGUACACACCGCCCGUCACACCAUGGGAGCGGGUUUUACCAGAAGUAGGUAGCUUAACCGCAAGGAGGGCGCUUACCACGGUAGGAUUCGUGACUGGGGUGAAGUCGUAACAAGGUAGCCGUAUCGGAAGGUGCGGCUGGAUCACCUCCUUUCUAG
rnacentral:rRNA from 1 species